rnacentral:misc_RNA from 1 species
UUUGUUUCCACCACUAAACCCUAAACCCCUUCAUUAAAACUUAAUCACACCUCUUGGGGAAGUGUUUGGCAGCCUAGAAAAGGGAAGAAAGUGAAGUUUAAGUUUGGAAAAUUCUUCCCUACAAGAGGUUAGUGCUUAUUUAUGCAUAUAUUUCUUUUAUUCCAUGUUAGGGACUUGAAAUUAAUAUGAAAUUGUGAAUUAAAUGGACUAAAACUCAUGUGUAUGUAUACCAUGGAAUUCGGCUGCCUAGUGAGGGUUAUGACUUUGAUGGUUUAGAUGGGCUUAGAGUGGAUUAGAGAAGGUGUUUAAAGCGUAAAUAGAUACAUAUAUAAG